rnacentral:lncRNA from 1 species
UCUAUUCCAUAUCCAUUUAAUAUAAGCGGGGUGCUAAUGUAAUAAGGAGAAACACAGUUAACUCUUAUUCCAUACUUUCCUAAUUCGACUCCAACGUUCUUGGAAAGCCCCACAAGUGCAUUUUUCGAGGCCAAAGUGGUGUGUGGGAUAGCAGUACCGUAGACCUCUGUCGAAGCACUUGCCGUGAAAAUAAUGACACCUUUCAUGCUGCAUUUUUCGAGGCCAAAGAGGUGUGCAUGAUAGCACUAACGCAGACCUCUGUCGAAGCACUUGCAUUGAAUAUAAUGGAACCUUUAUUGAAUGGAAUCAUCACUCUAGCAGCGUGUUUCGCACAAAAGAAGGCGCCAACAAUGUUCACGUCGAAAACAGCCUUAAUUAUGUCGUAAUCGACUUCUAAGAUGCUGGAAAUUGGCUUACCCAACACACCAGCGUUACUGAACAUUAUGUCGAGCUUACCAAAUUUGGCAACUGUUGCAUCCACCGCAUUUUGGACGUCCGAUUCAAUUGCGACAUCACAAUGGAUAAAGGUUGCAUUUUCUAUGCCAAUCUCUUGUACUACGCUAGUUGCGAGGUUGAAAUUGUUGCAUCCACUGCAUUUUGGACGUCCGAUUCGAUUGCGACAUUACAAUGGAUAAAGGCUGCAUUUUUUAUGCCAAUCUCUUGUACAACGCUAGCUGCGAGGUUGUCUUGAAUGUCUGCAAUUAUAACCUUUGCACCAUGUUUAACAAAAAGCCUAGCCGUUGCUGCUCCUAUGCCACUAGCACCACCAGUUAUAA